rnacentral:rRNA from 1 species
CCUACGGGAGGCAGCAGUGGGGAAUCUUGGACAAUGGGGGCAACCCUGAUCCAGCCAUGCCGCGUGAGUGAAGAAGGCCCUAGGGUCGUAAAACUCUUUCGCCUGUGAUGAUAAUGACAGUAGCAGGUAAAGAAACCCCGGCUAACUCCGUGCCAGCAGCCGCGGUAAUACGGAGGGGGUUAGCGUUGUUCGGAAUUACUGGGCGUAAAGCGCGCGUAGGCGGAUUGGAAAGUUGGGGGUGAAAUCCCGGGGCUCAACCCCGGAACUGCCUUCAAAACUCCCAGUCUAGAGUUCGAGAGAGGUGAGUGGAAUUCCGAGUGUAGAGGUGAAAUUCGUAGAUAUUCGGAAGAACACCAGUGGCGAAGGCGGCUCACUGGCUCGAUACUGACGCUGAGGUGCGAAAGUGUGGGGAGCAAACAGGAUUAGAUACCCUGGUAGUCCACACCGUAAACGAUGAAUGCCAGUCGUCGGAUAGUAUACUAUUCGGUGACACACCUAACGGAUUAAGCAUUCCGCCUGGGGAGUACGGUCGCAAGAUUAAAACUCAAAUGAAUUGACGG